AUCAAGAGCUUGCUCUUAAGAAGUUAGCGGCGGACGGGUGAGUAACACGUAGGUAACCUGCCUAUAAGACUGGGAUAACUCCGGGAAACCGGGGCUAAUACCGGAUAACAUUUUGCACCGCAUGGUGCGAAAUUGAAAGGCGGCUUCGGCUGUCACUUAUAGAUGGACCUGCGGCGCAUUAGCUAGUUGGUGAGGUAACGGCUCACCAAGGCGACGAUGCGUAGCCGACCUGAGAGGGUGAUCGGCCACACUGGGACUGAGACACGGCCCAGACUCCUACGUGAGGCAGCAGUAGGGAAUCUUCCGCAAUGGACGAAAGUCUGACGGAGCAACGCCGCGUGAGCGAUGAAGGCCUUCGGGUCGUAAAGCUCUGUUGUUAGGGAAGAACAAGUGCUAGUUGAAUAAGCUGGCACCUUGACGGUACCUAACCAGAAAGCCACGGCUAACUACGUGCCAGCAGCCGCGGUAAUACGUAGGUGGCAAGCGUUAUCCGGAAUUAUUGGGCGUAAAGCGCGCGCAGGUGGUUUCUUAAGUCUGAUGUGAAAGCCCACGGCUCAACCGUGGAGGGUCAUUGGAAACUGGGAGACUUGAGUGCAGAAGAGGAAAGUGGAAUUCCAUGUGUAGCGGUGAAAUGCGUAGAGAUAUGGAGGAACACCAGUGGCGAAGGCGACUUUCUGGUCUGCAACUGACACUGAGGCGCGAAAGCGUGGGGAGCAAACAGGAUUAGAUACCCUGGUAGUCCACGCCGUAAACGAUGAGUGCUAAGUGUUAGAGGGUUUCCGCCCUUUAGUGCUGAAGUU
rnacentral:rRNA from 1 species